GGGGAUAUAGCUCAGUGUUAAGAGUGUUUGCCUAGCAUGUGAGGCCUUGGGUUCAAACCCCACUACUUCCC
rnacentral:tRNA from 2 species